rnacentral:rRNA from 1 species
GACGAACGCUGGCGGCGUGCUUAACACAUGCAAGUCGAACGGAAAGGCCCCUUUGGGGGUACUCGAGUGGCGAACGGGUGAGUAACACGUGAGUAACCUGCCCUUGACUUCGGGAUAACUUCAGGAAACUGGGGCUAAUACCGGAUAGGAAUCCUUGCUGCAUGGUGGGGGUUGGAAAGCUUCGGCGGUUUUGGAUGGACUCGCGGCUUAUCAGCUUGUUGGUGGGGUAGUGGCUUACCAAGGCUUUGACGGGUAGCCGGCCUGAGAGGGCGACCGGCCACAUUGGGACUGGGAUACGGCCCAGACUCCUACGGGAGGCAGCAGUGGGGAAUAUUGCACCAUGGGCGGAAGCCUGAUGCAGCAACGCCGCGUGCGGGAUGACGGCCUUCGGGUUGUAAACCGCUUUCAGCAGGGGCGAAGCUUGUGGUGACGGUACCUGCAGAAGAAGCACCGGCUAACUACGUG